GUAGUCUCGCACAGAUGCAUAUCAAUAAGCGGAGGAAAAGAAACUAACAAGGAUUCCCCUAGUAACGGCGAGUGAAGCGGGAAGAGCUCAAAUUUGAAAUCUUAAAGGGUUUCCCUUUACGAAUCGUAGUUUAAAGAAGUGUUUUCUGUUGAGGUUUUGGUAAAAGUUCUUUGGAAUAGGACAUCAUAGAGGGUGAGAAUCCCGUAUUUGACUCUAGCUUUCAACUUUGUGAUACACUUUCAAAGAGUCGGAUUGUUUGGGAAUGCAGUCCAAAAUGGGUGGUAAAUUUCAUCUAAAGCUAAAUAUUGGCGAGAGACCGAUAGCGGAACAAGUACCGUGAGGGAAAGAUGAAAAGAACUUUGAAAAGAGAGUUAAACAGUACGUGAAAUUGUCAAAAGGGAAGCGUUUGACACCAGUGUUGUUUUUCUGAAAAUCAAUUAAAGAACUGUUUAUGCUAAGUUGUUUAGACUUUAUCAGCUAUCUGUUUAGUUUUGAGCUUUUCUUUAAUGCACUUUUCAGUUAACAAGUCAACAUCAAUUUCUUUUGCUGUAAAAAAGCUUGAGGAAGGUGGCUUGAGAUUCGUCUUAAGUGUUUAUAGCCUCUUGCCUAUGCAGUCGGAGAGAUUGAGGUCUGCAGCGUAGAUCCUUCGGGGCUAAAUGCAUUUGUGCUAAGUUAUAGCAUUUUAUAGACAACUUGUUGACUAUGAUUUGUCUUGUAGCUUACUCGCUUAUGUUAUUUUACCUACGCUUAGGAUGUUGACGCAUGAGAUAUACGC
rnacentral:rRNA from 1 species